UAUUGGUUCAAGUCCCUCUAUCCCCA
rnacentral:tRNA from 1 species